rnacentral:rRNA from 1 species
AUUGAACGCUGGCGGCAUGCCUUACGCAUGCAAGUCGAACGGCAGCACGGGUGCUUGCACCUGGUGGCGAGUGGCGAACGGGUGAGUAAUAUAUCGGAACGUACCUUAUUGUGGGGGAUAACGCAGCGAAAGCUGUGCUAAUACCGCAUAAUCCCUAAGGGGGAAAGCGGGGGACCGUAAGGCCUCGCGCAAUUAGAGCGGCCGAUACCUGAUUAGCUAGUUGGUGAGGUAAAGGCUCACCAAGGCAACGAUCAGUAGCAGGUCUGAGAGGACGAUCAGCCACACUGGGACUGAGACACGGCCCAGACUCCUACGGGAGGCAGCAGUGGGGAAUUUUGGACAAUGGGGGCAACCCUGAUCCAGCAAUGCCGCGUGAGUGAAGAAGGCCUUCGGGUUGUAAAGCUCUUUUGUCAGGGAAGAAACAGCAGCUCUAACACAGUUUGCGAAUGACGGUACCUGAAGAAUAAGCACCGGCUAACUACGUGCCAGCAGCCGCCGUAA